GUGAAAUGUACCUAUCGCUUUACCUUGUUUCCUGCUUUUGUGCCCGCCCGUGUUUCUGAGCGUCUUCCUGCUUUGGUGAGAGUUUAUUGGCUUCUAGUAAAUCGCUGGAUCCUACUGUGAACCAGUUGUUGCUGCAUCUAGAUAUCCGUAAGCCAGAGCGAGUGAUUGAUUCACCUGGCUGAGAUAGCCUAAUAGUAAAGUGAGGGUGUGUCUUCACCAAUCAAGGUUGCCUCAAUGUGCUCCUGUUUUGCCUCUUUUUAUUACUGCAACAUUACUUGCCUACAGCUUAUUAACCACUUGUAGGUUUCCGCUGUGUUUAGGAUUUGGUAGGCUAAUCUAGCUUUGUCAAAAGGGUAUUUCGUACUUGUACUACACCUGCUACCCUGAACGCUCCUGAAGUGUAUUCGCGCUGGUCGUGUUUUACUGCCAUUGUUCAGCUGUUAAAUCUCCGUUCCUUUGCAUUAAACGGGCUAAACUGCGUUUGUUGGCAGAGAUACGGGAAAGACUGGCCUACCCAAAUUGCCAUUUUUAAUUUCGAAAUGAUCUAAACUAACCAACUGGUUCUUUGUAUCUGAUUCAUUGUUUUUAGCUAGAUUUAUUACAUUGUUUAAAUUAAGGUUGGCGGUGAGCCCAGCGCUGCUCUGGUGGGGAGGUUAGCCGGUGGUUAGGUCUGUUUACAUUCCUGUUAAUGGUAAUUGCACUGAAUCACUUAUUUAACACAAAUUUGAUUGUGUUUCAGAUGAGGAGGCACGCGUGGCGGUAAGUAGAAUUCACUUGGACAGCCCCUAUUGUUGGUAUACCUCCCACCGAGUGGAUGCACGGCUCAUUUGUUAGCGCGAUCUAGUGGUCAUUUUUUUGUAAUUUUUAAUUAAAUAGUCUGGAAGUCCGUGUAUGUAUUUUGAUGUUAAAUUAAUAAAAGUUUGGUAUCAUUGCUUAAAUUCUUCUGUUUUUUUUUUUUUUUUUGUAGCUUCUAAUCGUUUUGGCUAUUUGAUCUUGAUUCUUCCAUACAGGUACUUCCAGCCCUCUUAAAUCUCAAUGAAAGUUAAAAUAAUUUCUUUUGAACCACGUCUCUGUCUUCUUUCAAUGAAAGAACCUGGGAAACUGUUGUAAAAUGUCCAAACUGGUUAUCUCCUUGGGUGAAAUUCCCAAGGUGGCGUAGUCUGGCUACUUACCCUUAUCCAUUGCCACAUUUAGUACAUGGAACACAUCCAUGCACUGAAAUGAGUAAUUAUGAAGCACUUGUUUGGGCUGCCAACUGACAAAGUAAUGCCCUCAGUCUCACUGUACUACAAUUGUCAAGCUAUGGGAGCUCACACCUUUGUUUUUGAGAAAACUCAACAUAUACUGUAAAGACAACCACCAAAUAACACACAUUGAUUGU